GUCCACGCCGUAAACGAUGCUAACUCGUUUUGGCCUUUAGGGUUCAGAGACCAAGCGAAAGUGAUAAGUUAGCCACCUGGGGAGUACGCUCGCAAGAGUGAAACUCAAAGGAAUUGACGGGGCCCGCACAAGCGGUGGAUUAUGUGGUUUAAUUCGAUGAUACGCGAGGAACCUUACCAAGACUUAAAUGGGAAUUGACAGCUUUAGAAAUAGAGCUUUCUUCGGACAAUUUUCAAGGUGCUGCAUGGUUGUCGU
rnacentral:rRNA from 1 species